GAUGAGGGUUAUAUGAUGGAGGGAGCCAGGCACACUCCCUGCUUAGAGAAAGCACGGUGGAGAGAUAAUGCAGCGAAGUCUCCCAAGAGGUCUGGGUGGCUGGUUCCUGGGGAAACAACAGAGCAAUUAGCUUUGGCAGGCAGAGCUGGAUCUCUCUUCCAUUAAAACAGAGCUCCAGACUCUAAUGUUGGCAACGAUAUAACCGUGCUAGAGGAAAGCAAUGAAAAUGCAGAGAGACCUUUACAAAAAUGGGCAAGAGAGUUCCCCGGGGGGAUACCGGUUGCAAUUGCUUAAGUGUUUAGCUACAAGAACCAGCAACCACCUGAAAAAGCUGGCCUGGAGCAGUGCUGCUUCUUCAGUGAUGACAGACAUCAAGAAGACCCCGUCUUGCUUGUCCCCGAACCCACCUCCUCAUCUUCUGCCUUCACCUUCUACCUGUGCAAACAUGCUCUGGAAACACAAGAAGGGGAAGUUGAUUUGAACAUCCUCUGGCCUCCAAUGCAAAAGAACAUUCCUUCCUUUCUACAAAGCUGACAUGAAGGGAGUCAGGAGACAGCGCAGCGGUGUAAGCGCAUGUGGCACGAAGCGCAAGGACCGGCAGAAAGGUCCCGGUUCGAGCCCCCGGCUCCCCAACUGCUGGGGAGUCGCUUCACAGGUGGUGAAGCAGGUCUGCAAGUGUCUAUCUUUCUCUCCUCCUCUCUGUCUUCCCCUCCUCUCUCCAUUUCUCUCUGUCCUAUCCAACAAUGACGACAUCAACAACAAUAACAACUACAACAACAAUAAAAAAAACAAGGGCAACAAAAGGGAAAAAUAAA